rnacentral:rRNA from 1 species
UACGUAGGGUGCAAGCGUUGUCCGGAAUUAUUAGGCGUAAAGAGCUCGUAGGCGGUCUGUCGCGUCGGAUGUGAAAAUCCAGGGCUCAACCCUGGACCUGCAUUCGAUACGGGCAGACUAGAGUUCGGUAGGGGAGACUGGAAUUCCUGGUGUAGCGGUGAAAUGCGCAGAUAUCAGGAGGAACACCGGUGGCGAAGGCGGGUCUCUGGGCCGAAACUGACGCUGAGGAGCGAAAGCGUGGGGAGCAAACAGG